AGCAGCCGCGGUAAUUCCAGCUCCAAUAGCGUAUAUUAAAGUUGUUGCAGUUAAAAAGCUCGUAGUUGAAUUUUGGGUCUGGCCGGGCGGUCCGCCCUCCGGGUGAGCACUGUUCCGACGCCGGGCCUAUCCUUCUGGUGAGUCGGCAUGUCCUUUGUUGGGUGUGUCGGGGAACCAGGACCAUUACCUUGAAAAAUUAGAGUGUUCAAAGCAGGCGUAUGCUCGGAUACAUUAGCAUGGAAUAAUGAAAUAGGACGCGUGGUGCUAUUUUGUUGGUUUCUAGAACCGCCGUAAUGAUUAAUAGGGAUAGUUGGGGGCAUUAGUAUUCAAUUGUCAGAGGUGAAAUUCUUGGAUUUAUUGAAGACUAACUUCUGCGAAAGCAUUUGCCAAGGAUGUUUUCAUUAAUCAAGAACGAAAGUUAGGGGAUCGAAGACGAUCAGAUACCGUCGUAGUCUUAACCAUAAACUAUGCCGACUAGGAAUCGGGCGAUGUUAUUCUCAUGACUCGCCCGGCGCCUUAU
rnacentral:rRNA from 1 species